UUUUCCUCCAAUACUAAUGUCCAAAUACCCUAAAGGGAUAAAUCCCUUCUUAGCCUGGAAGCUAAGAAGAGUUAGCUCUAGUUAGUACUUGAAUGGGAGACUGCCAAUGCAUACUAGAUGCAGGAGGCU
rnacentral:rRNA from 11 species